UACGGAGGAUCCAAGCGUUAUCCGGAUUUAUAGGGUUUAAAGGGUGCGUAGGCGGAUUGAUAAGUUAGAGGUGAAAUGUCCGAGCUCAACUCGGGAACUGCCUCUAAUACUGUUGAUCUAGAGAGUAGAUGCGGUAGGCGGAAUGUAUGGUGUAGCGGUGAAAUGCUUAGAGAUCAUACAGAACACCGAUUGCGAAGGCAGCUUACCAAUCUAUAUCUGACGUUGAGGCACGAAAGCGUGGGGAGCAAACAGG
rnacentral:rRNA from 1 species